rnacentral:rRNA from 1 species
GACGAACGCUGGCGGCGUGGAUUAGGCAUGCAAGUCGGACGGUAGAGCUUUAUCGUAAGAUAGAGUUUGAGAGUGGCGAACGGGUGAGUAACACGUAGGAAUCUACCCUUAAGACGGGGACAACCCAGGGAAACUUGGGCUAAUACCGGAUGAGAGUGCGAGAGAUUGCAUUUAAAAGGAUGGCGAAAGUUGUCGCUUAGGGAUGAGCCUGCGGUCUAUUAGUUAGUUGGUGAGGUAAGAGCUCACCAAGGCGAUGAUAGAUAGGCGGCCUUAACGGGUGGUCGCCCACACUGGGAUUGAGAUACGGCCCAGACUCCUACGGGAGGCAGCAGUCGAGAAUAGUCUACAAUGGCCGGAAGGCUGAUAGUGCGACGCCGCGUGAACGAGGGAGCCCUUCGGGGUGUAAACUGCUGUCGUGUAGGGAGAAGGGUACUAAGGUGAACAAUCUUAGUACUUGACGGUACUACAGGAGGAAGCCCAGGCUAACCUCGUGCCAGCAGCCGCGGUAAAGCUAACG